UACUAGAGUAGCACUCGCAUAUCAAUAAGCGGAGGAAAAGAAACUAACAAGGAUUCCCCUAGUAACGGCGAGUGAAGCGGGAAGAGCUCAAAUUUGAAAUCUUAAAGGGUUUCCCUUUACGAAUUGUAGUUUAAAGAAGUGUUUUCUGUUGAGGUUUUGGUAAAAGUUCUUUGGAAUAGGACAUCAUAGAGGGUGAGAAUCCCGUAUUUGACCUUUACUUUCAACUUUGUGAUACACUUUCAAAGAGUCGGAUUGUUUGGGAAUGCAGUCCAAAAUGGGUGGUAAAUUUCAUCUAAAGCUAAAUAUUGGCGAGAGACCGAUAGCGAACAAGUACCGUGAGGGAAAGAUGAAAAGAACUCUGAAAAGAGAGUUAAACAGUACGUGAAAUUGUCAAAAGGGAAGCGUUUGACACCAGUGUUGUUUUUCUGAAAAUCAAUUAAAGAACUGUUUAUGCUAAGUUGUUUAGACUUUAUCAGCUAUCUGUUUAGUUUUGAGCUUUUCUUUAAUGCACUUUUCAGUUAACAAGUCAACAUCAAUUUCUUUUGCUGUAAAAAAGCUUGAGGAAGGUGGCUUGAGAUUCGUCUUAAGUGUUUAUAGCCUCUUGCCUAUGCAGUCGGAGAGAUUGAGGUCUGCAGCGUAGAUCCUUCGGGGCUAAAUGCAUUUGUGCUAAGUUAUAGCAUUUUAUAGACAACUUGUUGACUAUGAUUUGUCUUGUAGCUUACUCGCUUAUGUUAUUUUACCUACGCUUAGGAUGUUGAGCGCAUGUCUCUCUCU
rnacentral:rRNA from 1 species